rnacentral:misc_RNA from 1 species
UGGGGGUCUUUGCAGGCUUUUUUUAAUCUGAAAGGUCGGCUCCCCUGAAACGCAUUAGUGGCAUCUGAGCUGCUACUAUAGGUGUGAUAAAUUAUCUAUGCCUUUGGUAUGCUGCAUGAACGGAUUGCGCUGCUUACAACGACGAAAAAGAACUUGACAAACUUGACCUCAAAUCAGGUAGGACUACCCGCUGAACUUAA